GAUGAAGAACGCAGCGAAAUGCGAUAAGUAAUGUGAAUUGCAGAAUUCAGUGAAUCAUCGAGUCUUUGAACGCACAUUGCGCCCCCUGGUAUUCCGAGGGGCAUGCCUGUCCGAGCGUCAUUGCCGCCCUCAAGCACGGCUUGUGUGUUGGGCCCCCGCCCCCCGGCUUCGGGGGGCGGGCCCGAAAGGCAGCGGCGGCACCGCGUCCGGUCCUCGAGCGUAUGGGGCUUCGUCACCCGCUCUGUAGGCCCGGCCGGCGCCCGCCGGCGACCCCAAUCAAUCUUUCCAGGUUGACCUCGGAUCAGGUAGGGAUACCCGCUGAACUUAAGCAUAUCAAUAAGCGGAGGA
rnacentral:misc_RNA from 1 species